GAUGAACGCUGGCGGCGUGCCUAAUACAUGCAAGUCGAGCGAACAGACGAGGAUCUUUCUCCGGUGACGUUGCCAGCGGACGGGUAACUAACACGUAGAUUACCUACCUCUAAGACUUGAAUAAAUUCGGGAAGCCGGAGCUAAGACCGGGUAAUAUUGUGAACUGCAUGGGUCAAGAGUGUAACACGGGUUGGGUAUGGCUUAUAGGCUGAUCCGCUCGGCAUUAGCUAGUUGGUAAGGUAACGGCUUACCAAGGCAGCGAUCCGUAGCCGACGUCAGAGGCUGAUAGGCCACACUGGAACGGAGCCACGGACCAGAGUACUAAGGGAGGGAGCAGUAGGGAAUCUUACGCAAUGGGGGGAAGCAUGACGGAGCAACGCCGAGUGAGUGAUGAAGGCGUCCGGAUCGUAAAACCCUGUUAUUAGGGGAGAACAAAUGUGUAAGUAACUAUGCACGUCUUGACGGUAACUAAUCAGAAAGCCACGGCUAACUACGUG
rnacentral:rRNA from 1 species